rnacentral:rRNA from 1 species
GAUGAACGCUGGCGGCGUGCCUAAUACAUGCGAGUCGAGCGAACAGACGAGGAGCUUGCUCCUCUGACGUUAGCGGCGGACGGGUGAGUAACACGUGGAUAACCUACCUAUAAGACUGGGAUAACUUCGGGAAACCGGAGCUAAUACCGGAUAAUAUAUUGAACCGCAUGGUUCAAUAGUGAAAGACGGUUUUGCUGUCACUUAUAGAUGGAUCCGCGCCGCAUUAGCUAGUUGGUAAGGUAACGGCUUACCAAGGCAACGAUGCGUAGCCGACCUGAGAGGGUGAUCGGCCACACUGGAACUGAGACACGGUCCAGACUCCUACGGGAGGCAGCAGUAGGGAAUCUUCCGCAAUGGGCGAAAGCCUGACGGAGCAACGCCGCAUGAGUGAUGAAGGUCUUCGGAUCGUAAAACUCUGUUAUUAGGGAAGAACAAAUGUGUAAGUAACUAUGCACGUCUUGACGGUACCUAAUCAGAAAGCCACGGCUAACUACGUG